GUUAUAAGCAAACCCGUCCUUUACAGCCGAAAUGCGAAGACUCAUCCUCUGGAUUGUUUGUGGAACUUGUCUGAUAGACCCGAGUCAUGGAGAUUCCGUCACUCAGACGGUGUCCUCAGAAGUGAAGACAGAGGGAGAGGAGGUGACUUUCAGCUGCAGCUACGACACUACAUGGAGCUACUACUCUUUACUUUGGUACCGGCAACGAUCAGACUCAAGACCUGAGUUCAUACUGAGCAAAGGGUCAGAUGCUGAAGAUAAAGCAGAUUUUGCCCAAACUCGCUUUACCGGCCAUCUCCAGGAGAAAAGGAAAUUCACCAGUUUGACCAUCUCCUCGCUGCAGCUGAGCGACUCUGCAGUUUAUUACUGCGCCUUAAUGACACAUUGA